UUGCUGCUGAUAGCAUUUGUGAGUUACUUUGGAGCAAAGCUUCAUAGACCAAGAAUAAUUGCCUUGGGCUGCACAGUUCUGUCAUUUGGCUGUCUUUUAAUAUCACUUCCACAUUUCCUAAUGGGACAGUACCAUAUUGAAAGUAGCAUUUCACCAUCUGAGAAUUCUUCAG